UACGUAGGGUGCAAGCGUUAAUCGGAAUUACUGGGCGUAAAGCGCGCGCAGGCGGUCCUUUAAGUCUGAUGUGAAAGCCCACGGCUCAACCGUGGAAGGUCAUUGGAAACUGGAGGACUUGAGUACAGAAGAGGAAAGCGGAAUUCCACGUGUAGCGGUGAAAUGCGUAGAGAUGUGGAGGAACACCAGUGGCGAAGGCGGCUUUCUGGUCUGUAACUGACGCUGAGGCGCGAAAGCGUGGGGAGCAAACAGG
rnacentral:rRNA from 1 species